rnacentral:lncRNA from 1 species
UAGACACCCUUUUAAUUCUCCAAUCACAGACGUAACUCCGAUUUCACAAAACAGUCAAGAGUGAUCACACCCACUUCAUUAAAAAUCCCGAUUCACCAUUACAACACUGACUUUAGCAACGAUUGCCUCAGUCUUCCCAAAACCCUAUGAAGAAGAAAAACCCAAUUCUCUGUCUUUUCUUUCCCCACCCGAAGUAUGAAGCUCCUCUCCAAUCCCCUUGAUCUUCAAAAACCU